CCUACGGGUGGCUGCAGUAGGGAAUAUUGCAAAAUGGGCGAAAGCCCGAUGCAGCAACGCCGCGUGCGCGAUGAAGGCCUUCGGGUCGUAAAGCGCUUUUUGGAGGGAUGAGGAAGGACAGUACCUCCAGAAUAAGUCUCGGCUAACUACGUGCCAGCAGCCGCGGUAAAACGUAGGAGGCAAGCGUUAUCCGGAUUUACUGGGCGUAAAGCGCGUGCAGGCGGCUUGGCAAGUUGGAUGUGAAAGCUCCCGGCUCAACUGGGAGAGGUCGUUCAAGACUGCCAGGCUAGAGGGUGGUAGAGGGAGGUGGAAUUCCGGGUGUAGUGGUGAAAUGCGUAGAUAUCCGGAGGAACACCAGUGGCGAAAGCGGCCUUCUAGACCAUUCCUGACGCUCAGACGCGAAAGCUAGGGUAGCAAACGGGAUUAGAUACCCCAGUAGUC
rnacentral:rRNA from 1 species